rnacentral:rRNA from 1 species
CCGUUGAGUAUCCGUUUGUUAUUAAAUAUGGGCCUCGUGCUCAUCCUGGCAACAGGAACGACCAUAAAGAAGCCGUCGAGAGAUAUCGGAAGAGUUUUCUUUUCUGUUUUAUAGUCGUACUACCAUGGAAGUCUUUCGCAGAGCGAUAUGGUAGAUGGGCUAGAAGAGCAUGACAUAUACUGUUGUGUCGAUAUUUUCUCCUCGGACCUUGAAAAUUUAUGGUGGGGAUACGAAACUUCUCAACAGGCCGUACCAAUAUCCGCAGCUGGUCUCCAAGGUGAAGAGUCUCUAGUCGAUAGAAUAAUGUAGGUAAGGGAAGUCGGCAAAUUAGAUCCGUAACUUCGGGAUAAGGAUUGGCUCUGAAGAUUGAGAUAGUCGGGCUUGAUUGGGAAACAAUAAUAUGGUUUAUGUGCUCGUUCUGGGUAAAUAGAGUUUCGAUCAUUUAUGGUUGUAACUUGUUCCCCGGAUAGUUAGUUACGUAUCCAAUUGUGGAACUUUCUUGCUAAAAUUUUUAAGAAUACUAGUUGGGUCAAACCAAUUAGUUCUUAUUAAUUAUAACGAUUAUCAAUUAACAAUCAAUUCAGAACUGGCACGGACUUGGGGAAUCCGACUGUCUAAUUAAAACAAAGCAUUGUGAUGGCCCUUAGCGGGUGUUGACACAAUGUGAUUUCUGCCCAGUGCUCUGAAUGUCAAAGUGAAGAAAUUCAAGUAAGCGCGGGUCAACGGCGGAGUAGUAACUAUGACUCUCUUAAGGUAGCCAAAUGCCUCGUCAUCUAAUUAGUGACGCGCAUGAAUGGAUUAACGAGAUUCCUACUGUCCCUAUCUACUAUCUAGCGAAACCACAGCCAAGGAACGGGCUUGGAAUAAUUAGCGGGGGAAAGAAGACCCUUUUGAGCUUGACUCUAAUCUGGCAGUGUAAGGAGACAUAAGAGGUGUAGAAUAAGUGGGAGAUAUAGACUUCGGUUUGGUAUCGCCAAUGAAAUACCACUACUCUUAUUGUUUCCUUACUUACUUGAUUAAAUGGAACGUGUAUCAUUUCCUAGCCAUUAUACGGAUAUAUUUAUUAUAUCUUAUGGUAUUGGGUUUUGAUGCAAGCUUCUUGAUCAAAGUAUCACGAGUUUGUUAUAUAAUCGCAAACAAAUUCUUUAAUGAGAGAUGCAUUUACUGUAUUAUUGAUUUGAAAAUUUGGUAUAUAACUCCAAUUACUCAGGUAUGAUCCAAUUCAAGGACAUUGCCAGGUAGGGAGUUUGACUGGGGCGGUACAUCUCUCAAAUAAUAACGGAGGUGUCCCAAGGCCAGCUCAGUGCGGACAGAAACCACACAUAGAGCAAAAGGGCAAAUGCUGACUUGAUCUCGGUGUUCAGUACACACAGGGACAGCAAAAGCUCGGCCUAUCGAUCCUUUUGGUUUAAAGAGUUUUUAACAAGAGGUGUCAGAAAAGUUACCAUAGGGAUAACUGGCUUGUGGCGGGCCCAGCGUUCAUAGCGACGUCGCUUUUUGAUCCUUCGAUGUCGGCUCUUCCUAUCAUUGUGAAGCAAAUUCACCAAGCGUUGGAUUGUUCACCCAUGCAAGGGAACGUGAGCUGGGUUGUAGACCAGUCGUGAGACAGGUGAGUUUUACCCUACUAAUGACAAAACGUUGUUGCGACAGCAUUCCUGGCGUAGUACGAGAGGAACCGCAGGUACGGACCAAUGGCACAAUACUUGUUCGAGCGAACAGUGGUAAUGACGCUACGUCCGUUGGAUUAUGCCCUGAACGCCUCUAAGUCGUAUCCGUGCUGGACUGCAAAUGAUAAAUAAGGGGCAAUUUGCAUUGUAUGGCUUUCUAAACCAUUUAAAGUUUAUUAUUUAUAUUUUAAACGACAAUGGAUGUGAUGCCAAUGUAAUUUGU